UACGUAGGGGGGCAAGCGUUGUCCGGAAUCAUUGGGCGUAAAGAGCGUGUAGGCGGCCCCGGUAAGUCCGCUGUGAAAAGUCCAGGGCUCAACCCCUGGGAUGCCGGUGGAUACUGUCGGGGCUCGAGUCCGGAAGAGGGAGUGUGGAAUUCCUGGUGUAGCGGUGAAAUGCGCAGAUAUCAGGAGGAACACCAAUGGCGA
rnacentral:rRNA from 1 species